rnacentral:rRNA from 1 species
UCAAGUUACUAUNGGGUNUAUGGUGGAUGCCUUGGCAUGUAAAGCCGAUGAAGGACGUGGUAAGCUGCGAUAAGCUUCGGGGAGAUGCAAACAAUCUUUGAUCCGGAGAUUUCCGAAUGGGACAACCCAUCUAGAUUAAUAUCUAGAUACCUUCAAUUGAAUAUAUAGAUUGAAUGGAGACAACGAAGGGAAGUGAAACAUCUCAGUACCUUCAGGAAAAGAAAACAAUAGUGAUUCUCUUAGUAGCGGCGAGCGAAAAGGGAACAGCCUAAACCAUUUUAGUGUCAUGCCUGUCAGCUUAGCUAAAUGGUGUUGUGGGGAUAAAUCGUAGAAUGUGACAGAAUUCUAGAUGAGUCAAAAAAUAUGUAAUUAAAAGAAUCUGAUCAGGAAAGUUCAAGCCGUAGAGGGUGAUAGCCCCGUAUUUGAAAAUUUCAUAUCUCAUUUGAUUUAUUUCCCGAGUAGGGCGGAACACGUGAAACUCUGUCUGAAUCUGCCACGACCACGUGGUAAGGCUAAAUACUCUUACAUGACCGAUAGUGAAUAAGUACCGUGAGGGAAAGGUGAAAAGUACCCCGAGAGGGGAGUGAAAUAGUACCUGAAACCGUAUAUCUACAAGCUGUCGAACCUCUAUAUGAGGAACGGCGUGCCUUUUGCAUAAUGAGCCAGCAAGUUACUCGUAACUAGCAAGGUUAAGUUUUUAAGAAACGGAGCCGUAGGGAAACCAAGUCUGAAUAGGGCGUUUAGUUAGUUGCGGUAGACGCGAAACCAGGUGAUCUUACCAUGGCCAGGUUGAAGCAACAGUAAAAUGUUGUGGAGGACCGAACCGACUUGGGUUGAAAACCGAGCGGAUGAGCUGUGGUAAGGGGUGAAAGGCCAAUCAAACCUGGUGAUAUCUCGUUCUCUCCGAAAUGUAUCUAGGUACAGCGUUAUGUUAAAGUGUCGUGGAGGUAGAGCACUGAAUGGAUGCGGGGGCUUAUGCCUACCAAUUCUUAUCAAACUCCGAAUGCCAUUGACAUGUUCCAUAGCAGUGAGGCUAUGUAUGAUAAGGUUCAUAGCCAAGAGGGAAACAACCCAGACCUACAGCUAAGGCCCCUAAAUUUUUACUAAGUGAUAAAGGAUGUGAAUUAGCAUAGACAGCUAGGAGGUUGGCUUAGAAGCAGCCAUUCCUUUAAAGAAAGCGUAAUAGCUCACUAGUCAAGGUAAUCUGCGCCGAUAAUAUCCGGGACUCAAGUAAAAUGCCGAAGCUUAGGACUUCUUUGAAGUGGUAGGAGAGCGUUCUAUUAACCGUCGAAGGUUUAUCCGUGAGGAGAGCUGGAGGAAAUAGAAAUGAGGAUGCUGGCAUGAGUACGCGAUAAAACACGUGAAAUUCGUGUUCACCGAAAGCCUAAGGUUUCCUGAUCAAUGUAAAUCAGAUCAGGGUUAGUCGGCCCCUAACACGAGGCCGAAAGGCGUAGUGGAUGGGAAUCAGGCAAACUCAAAACAUUCCUGAACCUCCGACCCUUAAACAAGGAAAUCCAUUAAUCAGAUUUAUUAUGCUUAAUGAUUUGCAUAAUAAAAGUAGUUAGUGGCAAGAAAAAGCCUUGCGUAUGCUAAGGAGACCGUACCGCAAUCCGACACAGGUAGGCGAGAUGAAUAUUCUAAGGUGCUUGAGAGAAUUGUUGUUAAGGAACUCGGCAAAUUAGCCCUGUAACUUCGGGAGAAAGGGUGCCUACUUCGGUAGGCCGCAGUGAAUAGGGGGUAGCGACUGUUUACUAAAAACAUAGGUCUAUGCUAACACGUAAGUGGAAAUAUAUGGACUGACACCUGCCCGGUGCUGGAAGGUUAAGAUUCUUUGUUAUUUUACUUCGGUAUAAGAAGCUCGGAAUUGAAGCCCCAGUAAACGGCGGCCGUAACUAUAACGGUCCUAAGGUAGCGAAAUUCCUUGUCGGGUAAGUUCCGACCUGCACGAAUGGUGNAACGACUUCCCNACUGUCUCGACNACAAACUCAGNGAAAUUGUANUGUCGGUGAAGAUACCGGCUAACCAUAGAAGGACGGAAAGACCCCGUGAACCUUUACUANAGCUUGAUAUUGNCUUUNGAUCNUNNAUGUGUAGGAUAGGUGGGAGACUUUGAAGCAGNNNCGCNAGNNNUUGUGGAGUCAUCCUUGAAAUACCACNCUUGUAUUNUUGAAAGUCUAACCGUNUACCUUGAAUCAGGUAUCGGNACAGUGUCUGGUGGGUAGUUUGACUGGGGCGGUCUCCUCCUAAAGAGUAACGGAGGAGCUCAAAGGUUCCCUCAGCACGGUCGGUAAUCGUGCGCAGAGUGUAAACGCAUAAGGGAGCUUGACUGUGAGUCUGACAAGACGAACAGGUGCGAAAGCAGGAGUUAGUGAUCCGGUGGUUUCGAGUGGAAGAGCCAUCGCUAAUCGGAUAAAAGGUACUCCGGGGAUAACAGGCUUAUCUCCCCCGAGAGCUCAUAUCGACGGGGAGGUUUGGCACCUCGAUGUCGGCUCGUCACAUCCUGGGGUUGGAGAAGAUCCCAAGGGUUGGGCUGUUCGCCCAUUAAAGUGGCACGCGAGCUGGGUUUAGAACGUCGUGAGACAGUUCGGUCCCUAUCCUCUAUGGUCGUAGGAAAUUUGAAGGAAUCUGCUUCUAGUACGAGAGGACCGAAGCGGACGAACCUCUAGUGUACCUGUUGUUAUAUCAAUAGCAUCGCAGGGUAGCUACGUUCGGAAGGGAUAAGCGCUGAAAGCAUAUAAGUGCGAAACCCAUCCUAAGAUAAGAUUUCCCUGAAGACUUCCAGAAGAAUACUGGUUUGAUAGGCCACAGAUGUAAGUACAGUAAUGUAUUUAGUCGAGUGGUACUAAGUAGUCGUUCGACUUG